rnacentral:sRNA from 1 species
AGAGGGUGCUGGUCUUGGAGGGUGGGGGAGGGAAGCGGCUGGGGGCUAGGGCCCUGGUGGCACUAAGCCCAGCCGCCCGCAGGAGGUGCUCCGCCGGACACCGCUGUAUGACUUCCACCUGGCCCACGGCGGGAAAAUGGUGGCGUUUGCGGGUUGGAGUCUGCCAGUGCAGUACCGGGACAGUCACACUGACUCGCACCUGCACACACGCCAGCACUGCUCGCUCUUUGACGUGUCUCAUAUGCUGCAGACCAAGAUACUUGGUAGUGACCGGGUGAAGCUGAUGGAGAGUCUAGUGGUUGGAGACAUUGCAGAGCUAAGACCAAACCAGGGGACACUGUCGCUGUUUACCAACGAGGCUGGAGGCAUCUUAGAUGACUUGAUUGUAACCAGUACUUCUGAGGGCCACCUGUAUGUGGUGUCCAACGCUGGCUGCUGGGAGAAAGAUUUGGCCCUCAUGCAGGUAUACCCCCUCUGUGUUCUAGGCACCUUGUCUUCCUUGUUCAUAGAGCAGCAUCCUUGUUAUCCAAGACAGGGUUGGCACAGACAAAGGACCUGGAAAAUGGCUCUUUCAGUGAAUGAACAGCUAUGAGACUCAAGAGCAGGCCCUCUCUGGAGCAUGCCAGGGUUUGGUGGUGGGGGAUUACCAGGCAUGGGGAGGGGGUCUUGGCCCCUCUGGUGUGAGGUGGCAGACCUGGGCUUGGGUCAUCUCUAUCACUUAGUAGCUAUGUGACCUUGUAAGAUGGGAACCAGCCUACUACCUUUUUUUCCUCCCUCCUCCUCCUCCUCUCCACUGUCUUACUACUGUCCAGCUCUGCAGCGUCCAGCCCAUGGUAGCUGCUCAGUAAGUGGCCCCAGAUGCUCUUGUGUUUCUGUCUUUUAGGACAAGGUCAGGGAGCUUCAGAACCAGGGCAGAGAUGUGGGCCUGGAGGUGUUGGAUAAUGCCCUGCUAGCUCUGCAAGAUCUCGGUGCCGGUAGCGGGGGCAGUUCACCUGGCAACAGCUCUUCUGAAAAACCCAGAGGUGAAGCUGGCAGGGCUGGCAGCCAGGGACAGCCUGCGCCUGGAGGCAGGCCUCUGCCUGUACGGGAAUGACAUUGAUGAACACACUACACCUGUGGAGGGCAGCCUCAGUUGGACACUGGGGAAGCGCCGCCGAGCUGCUAUGGACUUCCCUGGAGCCAAAGUCAUUGUUCCCCAGCUGAAGGGCAAGGUGCAGCGGAGGCGUGUGGGGUUGAUGUGUGAGGGGGCCCCCAUGCGGGCACACAGUCCCAUCCUGAACAUGGAGGGUACCAAGAUUGGUACUGUGACUAGUGGCUGCCCCUCGCCCUCUCUGAAGAAGAAUGUGGCGAUGGGUUAUGUGCCCUGCGAGUACAGUCGUCCAGGGACAAUGCUGCUGGUAGAGGUGCGGCGGAAGCAGCAGAUGGCUGUAGUCAGCAAGAUGCCCUUUGUGCCCACAAACUACUAUACCCUCAAGUGAAGCUGGCUCAGGGUGGGGCUGUCCCUUCCAGAAGUUUUGCCCCUACAAGGGGUUAGUCAAGAAGCUGAGGCAGAACUCACUGGGGGUGGGCAGUUAAGGUGGAGGCUGAUUCUAAUUGUCUGGCUGAGGGGCCACACCACCUAUUCCCCCCACCUAACUCAUGCCACUCCAGCUUCCUUCAGGACCCUGCUUCUGAGUGACGGACCAGCUCACACAAUGUCUUGUUUCAGUCCAUGAUCCCACUGACCUACUCUUGCCUGCUGGAGGGUAAUGAGAAGCUUUGGUUCUGCCAUCUCUCCCACUCUGCCAGGUGCUGGCUGUGGAGCAAAGGCUCACCUUUGUGGGGAGGAUAAAACCUGCCCAACCUACCUCACCAUGGUUUUUCACAUUGCAAACGGUAAUAACAUGGGCAGUGUGGACUUAGGCUACCCCCUCCAGUUUGCUUUCCGUAAAUGCAAAUUGUCCCUACUGCAAGUCAGGAAUGAUUGCCGACUCACAGUAGGGCUGCUAUGCCUGUGUGUAAACUUGGGGAUGGCUGAGGGAACACAGACUCACUCUUCCGCAUUCCCAAGUUGGUCUAGUGUGCUGCCCAGUAGCAAACCAUGGCAGGCUCACCACCUAUUCUGAGCUCCAGGGCUGUUGUAGGGCAGGGUGGGCUUCCUCCCAGACUUGCCUUACCCUGGGCUGAUCUUUGCCCCUGGUAUGCAUUAAUGGACUCCACUGAAUCCUGAAAAAAAAUUAA